rnacentral:rRNA from 1 species
GGGCCCGCACAAGCAGCGGAGCAUGUGGUUUAAUUCGAAGCAACGCGAAGAACCUUACCUAGACUUGACAUCUCCUGAAUUACUCUGUAAUGGAGGAAGCCCUUCGGGGCAGGAAGACAGGUGGUGCAUGGUUGUCGUCAGCUCGUGUCGUGAGAUGUUGGGUUAAGUCCCGCAACGAGCGCAACCCUUAUUGUUAGUUGCUACCAUUUAGUUGAGCACUCUAGCGAGACUGCCCGGGUUAACCGGGAGGAAGGUGGGGAUGACGUCAAAUCAUCAUGCCCCUUAUGUCUAGGGCUACACACGUGCUACAAUGGCUGGUACAGAGAGAUGCGAUACCGCGAGGUGGAGCCAAACUUUAAAACCAGUCUCAGUUCGGAUUGUAGGCUGAAACUCGCCUACAUGAAGCUGGAGUUGCUAGUAAUCGCGAAUCAGAAUGUCGCGGUGAAUACGUUCCCGGGCCUU